UAUACAAACAGAGCAUUUGUCACACCCAUGUGAAAUAUAAACGAGUACAUAACCGCUUUUUUAUUUAAUAUUCAACAAGUCUCACCUGAGAACAGUUCUACAGUUCUGUGAUAGAAAUGAUUGCCCAAAAGUUCGUUUUGUGUGUAGUUGCUUUGCUGGUUUUGGUUCAGAGUGUUACCAGCCAUUUCGGCUAUGGCGGUUAUGGCGGGGGCUUCGGCGGCGGUCUCGACGGAGGCGCCAUCAUUAUAGGUGGGUACAAGAGGUUCGGCUAUGGAGGGGGUUUCUACCAGCGACCGUAUGCUCCCUACGCGCCACAGUUCUUCUACCCCCGGCCCCCACCCCCGCCGUUUCCAUACCCGUAUUACGGUUGAGAAGACAAAAUAAAAAUGGCGAACGUAAAAAUGACAGAUUUUUUGACGGCACGGAUUUUUUGUGAAUAAAUUUUUGAGUUGUUUUUUA